ensembl:lncRNA
GUUUGUGUUGGAUGGUGAUUCAGUGUGAUUACUGGUUAAUAUACUCGCGUGUCUGCAACUGUAUUACAAUUUUGUUCGUACUCCAAGUUACCUGACAGACAGGCACCAUGUCUCCCUCUCAGUUUCCAGCUCUGAUGCUGCUUCUGGUCUCCAGCUCCUGGGCCUCAUAUUUCCAUGGAGGGACCAUGACCUUUAAACUCAGAGGGACCAACCCUGACGGAACCUACAGGGUGGAACUUCGCUACAAGACAGGCUUUCACUCCUGCCCUGACUCUGAUCCCUUUACCUGGACGUGUGCCAGUGGAGACUGUGGAAAUCAGACCAGUCUAGUAGUUCAGACAGUGGAUGAGCAGACAUCUGGAGACUACAUCUGGUGUCAGAAAGAGGGAGUCAUGACUCAAAGUGUCUCCAAUAAGACCAACACUUUUGAUCUGAAUUAUAUCGGCGGUAAUUGGAUAUUCAACCACAACAGCGUUGUUGGUUGGAGGCUGUUGACCCAUGUGGAUCUUGGGGUCAGGUCUGACACAGGGAAAGCCAACCGAUCUCCCCAGACCACUGUCAUUCCUCUGAUGCGUGUCCCUGUUAAUUGUCAGAGAGAUUUCCAGUUUUUGAACUUUGACCCUGAUGGGGAUGAGGUCAGAUGCAGAUAUGCAGAAGCUCCUGAAGAGUGUGUCACACUCAGUAACUUGUCUCUAGACUUCACCCUGGUGUCCUGCACAUUGUCCUUUUCCAGCAUCAGUAAUACCACUGGAACGUAUGUUGUUCAGAUGGUGAUGGAGGAUUUUCCUAUUCAGUCCAUCUCUCUCUUCUACAAUGACGGAACUCAAUCUAACAGGACUUCUGGUGAUACACUCAGCAAACUACCCGUUCACUUUGCAAUAAGAGUGGAUCCCGCUGUUCCAUCCUGUACAGAAGGGGACUACCUACCCAUGUUCCUGUCUCCAACACCAGACCAGGGAGCAGUGCUCCUUGCCUCCACAGACCAACCACUGGAGAUUACUGUCAGAGCUCAGGCUACCCAGUCCACGGCUACAGAGCUGUUGGUGAGUGGACCUCAGCGCAUCACAAAGAACGCCCCCAGCCCAGGACUGUACCUUCUAAGAUGGAUGCCUUUUGAAGAGGAUGAGGGAGGGUCUUAUCCUGUGUGCUUCAUCGCUCAGAGUGUAAACGGCAGUUCCCUGUACCAAUCGGAGCUGCGUUGUGUCAUCAUCAGUGUUGGAAACCAAAGCGCCGUCACAACUACAGCUCACUCUACAAUAACCCUUCCUCCGACAACACAAAUCAUAACCACGAUGACCACAAAUACAUUUCCAACUACCAUCCAAUCAACUACAGCGCAAUCCCCACAAACCCCUCAACUCACCAACCCACGCGCAACUUUCAGUCAAAACUUAACCACCAGUCUUACGAUUGACCAUGUGGGCAACGCACCAAAAAGCAGCAUGACUAAGCACAUUGUCGUAGUGAACGUAAUGCUUUCCUUUCCAAGACCAACUACGGAUGAGUUCAUCAGUAAUGUGCUUUUACCAGUGGUCCAUCAGAAAAUAACCAGCUAUGGCUUUCCAAAACUCUUCACAUUGAGCCUGAUUGCAACUCACCCAAUCAACCCGUGAAGGAGGGACAGAAAUGUGUCUUGAUCAAAUAGUCCCUUGCGUCACGUGAUCAUAUCGAAAUUGCUAAGCUAGUAUAUUUUGGACUCAAGAACUGAUCCGCUCUACAUACAGGUGACCUCACUCUGCAUCGGCUGUAACAACACAAAUCGCCAGGUGUGUGUUUGUGUUUCCCCUCCUUCUGCCCUAAUCACAGGUGUCCUUUAUGUUCCGGAUUGUUGUCGUUGGUGUGUCCCAACUGGCAGUCAUCAGUGCUCAUCUGACUGCUGAGGUGGACCAAUCAGUGGACACUCCUCCUGAUUGCACCACCUGUUCCCUUUAUCCAUUACUCAAUCACAUCACACAUCCCCUGGUUUAUAACCCCCCCCCCCCCCCCCCCCCCCCCCCCCCCCAAGAAAGACUAUUUUUGCUUCAUCCCAUAUAAGUUGAUAUAGACAUAAACUUGUGAAACAUACCCUUUUGAUAGACAGACACUUGUUCAUUCAUACACCACAUAAUCUUAGUGCAUACAUCUCACUUUGUCCUGUUUCCUGUGAGUACUCUAUGUAUUGCUGUGAUGUUUUGUUUGGUGUUGUCUAGUCAAUUGUUUGCUGUUUGGUCACUGAUUAACCUAUGUGUUUUGUUUAUAUCUGGGAAAAGGUGAUUUUUAGCAAGUCGCCCUUAGGCGUACACAAACUGUAUGAAAACUGUCCACCCACUGUAUUUUUCUAUAGGUUAGUGGUUCGCUAAGCUGUUCUUGAGGCAGGCAAGUUCAGUUUAGGGGUUUUUGACUAUAUUAUUUCAUUCUUUGGAUCCAGCUCAGCCCCUUUUCCCUAACCCAUUUACUGUGUGUUCAUCAUAAACGUUUUAUGUUUGACGGUAGCUUUGGUUGUCUUGUUCUCACUCUUCCUUCACACUAUUACACUAUGCAUGAGUUUUAUGUUACGGGUCUCUGUACCUUCCACCUUAGACUGCUAGAGCCACAGGGAUGUAUAUUUUAACCUUCUGAUCAUUGUUUGGUUUUAAAUCCAAACCUUUUCAGUAAAUAGUUUCAAAAGGUGAAGAAAUGCUUCACUGUCCCAAUAAUAAAAAAGGGCACUGUAUCUCAGUUGAAUGUGUUGACUAUCAUCUCUGGAAAUCUGCUCAGUGACAGUAUGAGAAGAGAAGUGUGAGAAUAAGAGUACAAUGGCUUCAAAAAUGUGGGUUGAUAGAGCUGCAGUUACAGUGACCAAGCGCCUGACAUAUACUGUGAUAAGAUCAGAUUGGAUCACACAGUCUCUCCCAAACAGGUUGGAUCUCAUCUUUCAUUAUUAUAAUCACAUGUGGAAUUGAGCCAAAUACUUCUGCCUUUCUGUUGUGAAUGGAAGGUGAUUGGUCAGGUCGUAUGACUGGAUGGGAUUGGAACAUUUUAGGCCAUUCUAAUAACAUUUUUAAUAUUUCCCUACUGGUGUGUUGUUCAAGUUCUUGGAUUUAACUGGAUUACUGAGGUAAACCAAACAUUUCUAUGCGCUACUUCCUGGUUGACCUUGCUGGAGAAAGAUACCAACAGAAACAAUGAUACUGUCACGUUUCAUAAAGGGAGGCAGAGGCAGGCGCAGAAUUUGGAGGAGUUUCCUUUUAAUAACCUCGAAGGCAAUGACAACAGAAGGCCGGGCACUACGUGAUACUUAGGGGUUCAGGAGGUCCGACAACAUGACAAGCACAGAGGCACAGUGACCAACAGAGACAAUGAGAAAAUGGCCGAACUAAAUACACAGACUGACGAGGAGAACAGAAACAGGUGGCGCCUAAACACAGGUGAAAUGAAUAUACGGAUUAACCGAAACAAGAACAGGAAAGACCAUAUAAGGGCAAGGACAAACAGAAAACACGAGGUGUUAUCCACACAUCUAUAAUAAUGGACAUAUUACAUAGGUUAUAAGUUUAGGCAUAAAGGUUAUUGAGGUUAAGGUUAGGUUGUGAUUAGAUUAAAGUCAAGGUACUGUGUUCUUUAUUGUAUUGAUUUUCCAGUCUAAUCAACUGUAGGCACAAACAGAAGCUGUGACAGUCUCAACCAUUUUGCUCCUUGUCGUUCUGCCUGGGAUAACAUGUAUUCAUAGCCCAUUUAUCAAAGUCAAUGCGGUUGUUUAGACUGUCAAAUAUUGACCUGGCAACCCGUGAUGGUGAAUUGUACACGCCAAUGUUUUCAUCCACACCGGUUCUGUUGGGUCAUUCCUUUGGACGUUGACAAACAGGCUAGGACAGGUGGGGGGGCCACCAAGUCUGGCUGCUGGUACGCCCCCCUGAACCUGCGGGGAUGCGUAGACAGCUGCUACAUAACAUGUAACAACGUUGUCUGUGUGCAUGUGAGGCGUUCGUCGAAAUCGACCGCUUUGUGACCCCUCCCUCAUUCCAAUGCCUUUGUCGUUCCAUGUACAGUCAGAUUUCGAGAAGAGGGUGCUCCAAAGCGUUGAUUACUGAUUAGGCUAUUGUUCCUGUGCAUUGGAAUGCAGGUGUUUUCACUUUCUCAUAGGCACGCAUGACUACUUGUAGCCCGGUGUGCAUCUGGGUUGCCCGGGGGUUGUGCAGAAAAGGCAAGGACUCAGACAGAACCCGAUCAGAAGACCCAGAGACACAGACAGGCACCAUGUCUCCACCUCGGUCAGCUCUGAUGCUGCUGCUGGUCUCCGGCUCCUGGGCCUCCCAUUUCUACGGAGGAACCAUGACGUAUGACCCCAGAGGGACCAACCUGGACGGAACCUACACAGUGGAACUUCGCUACAAGACAGGCUUUCACUCCUGUCCUGACUCUGAUGGCUUAACCUGGACGUGUACCAGUGGAGACUGUGGAAAUCAGACCAGUCUAGUAGUUCAGACAGUGGACCAGGAGAUAUCUGGAGACUACAUCUGGUGUCAGAAAGAAGGAGUCAUGAUUAGGGUCUCCAAUAACAUGCACUCUUAUGACCUGAGUUAUAUCGGCGGUAAUUGGAUAUUCAACGACAACGACGUUGUUGGCUGGACGCUGUUGACCCAUGUGGAUCUUGGGGUCAGGUCUGACACGGGGAAAGCCAACCGAUCUCCCCAGACCACUGUCAUUCCUCUGAUGCGUGUCCCUGUUAAUUGUCAGAGACAUUUCCAGUUGUUGAACUUUGACCCAGAUGGAGAUGAGGUCAGAUGCAGAUAUGCAGAACCUCCAAACGAGUGUGUCACAGCAAGUAACGUUACAUCAAGUAACAUGCCUCAGGACUUCAGCAUACAACUGGUGUCCUGCACUUUGUCCUUUUCCAGCAUCAGUAAUACCACUGGAACGUAUGUUGUUCAGAUGGUGAUGGAGGAUUUUCCUAUUCAGUCCAUCUCUCUCUUCUACAAUGACGGAACUCAAUCUAACAGGACUUCUGGUGAUACACUCAGCAAACUUCCCGUUCACUUUGCAAUAAGAGUGGAUCCCGCUGUUCCGUCCUGUACAGAGGGGGACUACCUACCCAUGUUCCUGUCUCCAACACCAGACCAGGGAGCAGUGCUCCUCGCCUCCACAGACCAACCACUGGAGAUCACUGUCAGAGCUCAGGCUACCCAGUCCACGGCUACAGAGCUGUUGGUGAGUGGACCUCAGAACAUCACAAAGAACACCACCAGCCCAGGACUGUACCUUCUAAGAUGGACGCCUACUACAGAGGAUGGAGGGGCUUAUCCUGUGUGCUUCAUCGCUCAGGGACUGAAUGGCAGUUCCCUGUACCAAUCUGAGCUGCGCUGUGUCAUCAUCCGUGUUGGAAACGAAAGUGCUCCUACAUCUACCAUUCCAAACAUAACCACCAAUCUCCCAGCCAUCUUAACUACCAAUCCCACAACCACCUCAAUCACCAAUCCCACAACCACCUCAAUCACCAAUCCCACAACCACCUCAAUCCCCAAUCCCACAACCACCUCAAUCCCCAAUCCCACAACCACCUCAAUCCCCAAUCCCACAACCACCUCAAUCUCCAAUCCCACAACCACCUCAAUCCCCAAUCCCACAACCACCUCAAUCCCCAAUCCCACAACCACCUCAAUCCCCAAUCCCACAACCACCUCAAUCCCCAAUCCCACAACCACCUCAAUCCCC